GGCCGACUAGCUCAGUUGGUUAGAGCGUCGUGCUAAUAUAUUGUAUUUAACGCGAAGGUCUUGGGUUCGAUCCCCACGUUGGCCA